rnacentral:lncRNA from 1 species
AUGUGACCUUGAGCAAGUUUCUUAUUUUUCUCUGUAUCAGUUGCUUCAGCUGUAAAAUGAAGAUGACAGUUUUUUGAAUACUUUCAGAAACCCUCUUCCCACUCAUCUGCAAUCACAGAAUGAAGACACAGUGGUUGUAAUACUAUAUGAGCAUGCUGUGCUGUGCCAGAAGUAUGUGGGCAGUAGAAGAGAAAGAAGACUUGAACAUUUUUCAAAUCAUCAUAACAAAAAAAUUGCCAGUCUAAUGAACAGGUAGCUGUCAGCACUACAAAGGAGGGAAGACUCCCGCACUCGCUACCACAUUUCUUCUCCACCUCCUGUGGUGGCCUCAAAUACUAGAACUAGAGGCACAUUCCUUUGGGCUUGAAAGUAUUGGUGAGCCUAAGAGACAGCAGAACAGUGGAAGCCUUCCUGAGUGCAAGGCCUGACACUUGUUGCGGAGCCAUGACUGGGGAUGCAUUUGACCCCAC